rnacentral:lncRNA from 1 species
AUGUUCCAGUCCAUGUUCCUGGCUACAGGAGAAGGCAGAACAGUGAAGCAGAGGGAUGAGACCAUUGCUACCUACUGUCUACACUGCGUUACAACAGGUGCGAGACCUUACAGAAGGCCAACCCUGGGUUGUCAAGCACUGCAGAAAAACCACUGCUGGGGGCCUAUAACAGGUGUGUGCAAAAUAAAGACCCACCAUGGAUAUCAACAUUGGCCGAGGACCGCAAAGUCCAGGAGUGGGCUGGUAAAGAUGCCAUCCAUCGGCAUUUCCACAGCCUUACAACCCCACCGCUGCCAGGCUAAUGGAAAAGAUGAACGGAGUACUGAAUGAUUGAAGCAGGAAACCCAUGUUCUCAACCUGUGGCCAGGAGGCUGAUUCAAGCCCUGCGAACUGUAACCAAACAUCUCAGGGCAUCGUCCCACCCAUUGUCUACUCCUUGUUCACCCAGAGUCAAUACCAUCUGAAUUCAACUCUUAACCACCAAAGGAUCCAAAGGUUGCCAACUAUCAGUCAAGACAACAGCUCACUUUUGCCUACAGGAUCUCCCCCCAGAGGGGCACAUUAUAAACGACCUGGGACUGGCAGGUAAGUCCCCAGUGGCUGGGUUUGCCAGCUCGUGGGGAAUAGAUUAGAAAGGGACUUACAGAUCUCACCUGUUGUCUACCCAGCCCCACUGAAGACUACUUAGGUAAUUAAUCUUGUCCCCUACUAGAGAAAGGCACCAUUAUAUUAUACCUCUAGUAAAAUUUCUAAUAUUAUAACCCUCCAAUACUCAGCACCACCUCUGGAGACUGCUGGUGGACACGUGACACGAUACUGCUGGCCAGGACAAAAAUCCCAGGUGGGGCUGGCAUGAUCUCAGAGUGCUGUUCCUGCUUGUAUUCUGCUUAAUGGUCAUAACCUCCCCGGUGUUGUGCCUGUUAAGCAUCUUUUAUUUCCUCCCGAGUCUGAGUGGAGAGAAUCUGCUUGCAGAGGCGGAGACACUGGUGGCCUCACUAUGAAACGAAUCUGAUUGCUGGGUCUGCAGAGAGAUGCUGUUGUCAUCAUCCUCUGGAUUUUCAUGAAAAAUUGACCCGAUAAGCACUUGGCCCCAAAGUCUCCUCACCUGUAGGCAAAUCACUGUCCCUAGUUUACCAGGUAUCUUAGUCUUGAUGCUCCUUAGCUGCUGUUGCUUGUAUCACAUUUGUGGUAUUGCAGAGCACCUUUGUACACUUGACCUUGGGGCCGUCAUAGAAGAGGGGUGCCCAGGAGUGUAAGGGUCAUGCAGGGUAGGUGGGGUGGAGCGCACGAUCAGGCCAUUCAACAUGGCUAUUCUCUUGAUCUCUGUUCACUCCCUGCUCAUCCAGCCCCUGGUCUACUCAUGUGAUUGUUGUUGUUGUGCUUAGUUGUUCAGUCUUGUCCAGCUCUUUGAGACCCCAUGGACCCCAAUGGAGCCUGCCAGGCUCCUCUGUCCAUGGGGAUUCUCCAGAAGAGAAUACUGGAAUGGGUUGCCAUGCCCUCCUCCAGGGGAUCUUCCCAACCNNNNNNNNNNNNNNNNNNNNNNNNNNNNNNNNNNNNNNNNNNNNNNNNNNNNNNNNNNNNNNNNNNNNNNNNNNNNNNNNNNNNNNNNNNNNNNNNNNNGUUGCCAUGCCCUCCUCCAGGGGAUCUUCCCAACCCAGGGAUUGCACCCAGGUUUCCCUCAUUGCAGGCAGAUUCUCUACCAUCUGAGCCACCAGGGAAGCCCCCAUUCAUGUGAUAGGCAUAAUCAGUAACUGCCUACAGGCUUCUCACCUGCCCCGGUUGCUGGCUUCCCUGGUAACCGAUGAGCCAACCUGAUGUCAUGUCAGUUCCCCCUAUAAAUGGUAGCAUCCUUCUCCCCUGAGUGGUAAAGAUUGCUCCAGGUCCUGUCUGCUAUACAGGGUGUGUGUUGCUCCAGGACCUUCUGUUUCAGAUGUGUAACACCAUGUUGUGUUAAUUUCUACUGUAUAGAAAAGUGAUUUACACCUAUAAAUAUGUUCUUUUUCAUACUCUUUUCCGUUAUGGUUUAUCGUAGGAAAUUGACUAUAGUUUCCUUUGCUAUGCAGUAGAACUUUGCUCAUCCAUUCUCUAUGCAGUGGUUUGCUUCUGCUAAUCCCAAACUCCCAAUCCAUCCAUCCCUCACCCUCCUCCCCCUUUGGCAACCAUGAAUNNNNNNNNNNNNNNNNNNNNNNNNNNNNNNNNNNNNAAAUUCACUUCUAUCAUAGUUUAGAUUCCACAUAUAAGUGUUAUCAUCUGACUUACUUAGUAUGAUCACUUCAAGGACCAUCCGUGUUGUUGCAAAUGGCAUUAUCUCAUUCUUUUUUGUAGCUAAAUACUACUCCAUUGUAUAUGUGCACCACAGCUUCUUUAUCCAUUCAUCUGUCAAUGAACAUUUCGGUUGUUUUAAUAUCUUAGUUACUGAGAACAGCGCUGCAACAAACAUUGAGGUGCAUGUAUCUUUUUGAAUUACAAUUUUCUCUGGAAAUUUGUGGCAACUCUUUUUGUUCUCUGAAGAGUGCCUUUGAACCCACCAAGGUGAUGUAACUUUUCUAUAGUGUUAAACUUCAUUGUGCAUAUCCCAGGUGGCGCUAGUGGUAAAGAACCUGCCCAACAGCACAGAAGAUGUAAAAGACAUGGGUUCGAUCCCUGGGUCAGGAAGAUCCAUGAAGGAGGGCAUGGCAACCCACUUUACUAUCCUUGCCUGGAGAAUCCUAUGGACAGAGGAGCCUGGUGGGCUUUAGUCCAUAGCAUUGCAGAGUUAGACCUGACUGAAGCGACUUAGCAUGCAAACUUCACUGUGAUAAAAUGAGAGAGAAAAAAAUGUUCCUAGGAAGAACUUGUGUUCUUCUGGGUGUUUUCACUGCCGCCACCUCACCGCCCCCGCCCCCCGCACCCUGAGGU